rnacentral:piRNA from 1 species
UAUCAUAUUGGGUUUAGAAUU